GACGGAGGGUGCAAGCGUUGUUCGGAUUGCCUGGGCGUAAAGGGCGUGUAGGCGGUCGGCCAAGUCUGAUGUGAAAGCCCGAGGCUCAGCCUCGGAAGUGCGUCGGAAACUAGUCGGCUGGAGCGCGAUAGAGGAGGGUGGAAUUCCUGGUGUAGCGGUGAAAUGCGUAGAUAUCAGGAGGAACACCGGCGGCGAAGGCGGCCCUCUGGAUCGUUGCUGACGCUGAGACGCGAAAGCGUGGGGAGCAAACAGG
rnacentral:rRNA from 1 species